CAUGUUUCCAAUCUCCAUCCGGUCGCAGCUCGUAGCUCGCAGCCACAGCCAUAGCGCUAUUUGCUUCUCUGCUCUCCGAUCUUCCUACAGCAGACAGCAGACAGCAGACAAGAACAUUGUCAGUACAAAGGAUUCCCCAGACAAGAACAAUGUCAAUGGGUGCUUGGAAUUGGACACUACUACUAGAGGCUUGUCUGGUUCAAUGAAGAUAGGUUUGUUGCUCCUCGAGGAUUGAGCUUCUCUGGAAUCUCAGGAGGCAGAACAAAGUCAUUCAAGGGGCAGCUGAUUGGCCUUAUCUACGCAGCUCAAUAUUCAAGACUUCCUCUCUUAAGUUGUUAGUAUGUGG